UGCGUGAGGGGGAAAAAAUACCCGCUUGUCCGUCCUGUCCCUUCAGGCUGCGCAACGCUGGAGGGCGAUGGGAGCUCCACACAGGUGGGACGAGCCUAGCAGCACCAUGGAAAACCCACACACAAGUGAAGCCCCGACCCACCUCCCAAGUGCCCAUCUGAGCACCCCUCGUGGACUCUGAGCAGGGGGUUGCCAUCACCAACUCCAAGUCUUGCAGCCCCUCUUCCCUUCAGUCUGGCUGCCACCUUCUUCAUUGCCCUGGAAAAAAAUAAUGAAGUUUCACCAUUUAAAGGGUUUCAGUGCAGCUUGCUAUGGGAACACUGGAGAGUAACACAAAUGGCCAAUUGUCCUAAUAGCCACCAUGGAUUGGAUGGAUGCUAACAACAGGCUCACAGUUCUCCUUCUGUUGCCUCCUUUUAUCCACAUGAGAAUCAAACAAGACUACUGAUUAAAUGAAGCCUUUGAUGAAGUGCAUGCAGUUUGUAGCUUGAUUCAUGGGAAUACUCAUCACAGACUGAAAGUGUAACCCAGGGUCUCUGGGUUUUUGGGAACGCGCUGUGUAAAAGUAUCUACUUGUAACUGUUACUCCCUGAGUUGUUGUUGUUUUAGAAAGUUCCAAGAAGAAGCUUAGCCUUGGAAAAAACAAAAACUGGUUGAAUCCAGAAGUGGAGAUGAAUUUUGGCCAACGCUCCUCACUGCCACACUAAAAACCCUGCUCAGAGAGGAGCUUAUUCACCAUGUUCUAUUCAUGCAAUGUGUGUGGAAACAUGAUCUACGACAGCAUGCGUGCUGCCUUCACCCUACCUCUACAUACAAUGACUCAUUUAACCUGCUGAAUAAAAGCCCUGUUUUCACCUUUGCUGGGGGAGGUGCCGCUUUGGGAACUAUUCGCAGUGUCCUCUUCACUUUUUGCAAGUAAUAGAAUACCCUUGUUAAAUCCUACUUGGUUGUGGUCAUUAUAGUGUCACCCGCCAAGCAAUCGAUCCCACCCAGGGUUAACAAAUGCGGGAUAACAAAUGUCAGGUUUUAGGCAAGUUACUUACUCGCUCAAAAUAUGAAGAUAUAAGUUACCAUCAGUUGUCAAUCAUGGUGAGCUUUGCUCUGCUGCAGUAACAGACAAUCGUAACUCUUAGUAGCUCUAAAUGACCAGUUUAAAUAACACCUCGUCUUUGUAGUUUUGAUAGCGACAGGAGGCAGCCAAAUGCCUAGGCAGGUAGGGGCAGGUUCCCCGUGAAACUCCAUCUCCAAGCCGAAGACAGUUUAGAGCCUGAAAGCCAAGCUCCACAUUAAAUCCUCCGACUGGAUUGAGAACUUGUCUUCCUGUUUAGUGUGCUUUUCUCUCAUUGGUCCCUGCCAUUCACCUAUUUCAUAUACACCUAACCUUUUCUAAUUGGUUUUCUAUACUGUCAUGCCCAACUUUGAGUGGUCUUUGCUUUAACCUUUUCUACAUAUUCACAAACCGAUCAGCAUGCACCCCCCAUUCUGAGUCCAUGAAAGGCUCUGGAUCUAGCCACACAGAGGAACUUUCCCAUCUUCAGGUAGGGGGGCCACCACCAACAUGUCCCCUCUCCACCAAAAGCUGUUUUCAUUGUUCAAUAAAAUUCUUCUCUGCCUUCCUCA
ensembl:lncRNA LINC01229 long intergenic non-protein coding RNA 1229